rnacentral:rRNA from 1 species
UAUAGGUUUGGUCCCAGCCUUCCUGUUAACUUUCAAUAGACUUAUACAUGCAAGCAUCCACGCCCCGGUGAGUAACGCCCUUCGAAUCACACAGGACUAAAAGGAGCAGGUAUCAAGCACACACUCUUGUAGCUCACAACGCCUUGCUUAACCACACCCCCACGGGAGACAGCAGUAACCAAAAUUAAGCCAUAAACGAAAGUUUGACUAAGCCAUAUUGACUAGGGUUGGUAAAUCUCGUGCCAGCCACCGCGGUCAUACGAUUGACCCAAGCUAACAGGAGUACGGCGUAAAGCGUGUUAAAGCAUCAUACUAAAUAGAGUUAAAUUUUAAUUAAACUGUAAAAAGCCAUAAUUAUAACAAAAAUAAAUGACGAAAGUAACCCUACAAUAGCUGAUACACCAUAGCUAAGACCCAAACUGGGAUUAGAUACCCCACUAUGCUUAGCCCUAAACACAAAUAAUUAU